ACAACAUGUUCUCUCCCUCUUGUUUUUCUAUUUUUGGCAGGUUCUGCCAUGAAAGCUGCGGCAAUUACUACAGCUGAAAGUUGGUGCAAAGACUUAAGAUGACACCCUCUAGCAUGGAGCUUUAUAAAGAUGAAUUUUGAAGCCAAUCUGCAAUCCAAACCUAUUCCUGAACGCUUCAGAUGAAAUUUGUUUUGGCCUUGCUGGCGGAAAAAGGUGAAAGUGGAAGUCUUGUAUUGAGACUCUCAGAAGGCUCCCAGAUAUCCUAUAGAACUUCUGUAGACAAAGUGAGUAUGUUUUGUUGCAUUUAUGCCAUAGCUGUAAUACAAAGGUAAACAAAGUAGUCAUAGUUUCUAGGAUUUGUAUAUCACAUUUUAACUUCUG
rnacentral:lncRNA from 1 species